rnacentral:rRNA from 1 species
UACGGAGGGGGCUAGCGUUGUUCGGAAUUACUGGGCGUAAAGCGCACGUAGGCGGCUUUGUAAGUUAGAGGUGAAAGCCCGGAGCUCAACUCCGGAACUGCCUUUAAGACUGCAUCGCUUGAAUCAUGGAGAGGUUAGUGGAAUUCCGAGUGUAGAGGUGAAAUUCGUAGAUAUUCGGAAGAACACCAGUGGCGAAGGCGGACUGACUGGACAAGUAUUGACGCUGAGGUGCGAAAAGCGUGGGGAGCAAACAGG